rnacentral:rRNA from 1 species
AACUAACGCUGGCGGCGUGCCUAACACAUGCAAGUCGUACGAGAAAGCCGGCUUCGGCUGGUGAGUAAAGUGGCGCACGGGUGAGUAACGCGUGGAUAAUCUGCCCUUAAGUGUGGAAUAACGUACCGAAAGGUGCGCUAAUACCGCAUAAUGCCUGGCAACACAAGUUGUCCGGCCAAAGAAGGCCUCUGUUUACAAGCUUUCGCUUCAGGAUGAGUCCGCGUACCAUUAGCUUGUUGGUGGGGUAAUGGCCUACCAAGGCUGCGAUGGUUAGCUGGUCUGAGAGGAUGAUCAGCCACACUGGAACUGAGACACGGUCCAGACUCCUACGGGAGGCAGCAGUGAGGAAUAUUGCGCAAUGGGGGCAACCCUGACGCAGCAACGCCGCGUGAGUGAGGAAGGUUUUCGGAUCGUAAACCUCUGUUGUACGGGAAGAAGGAUGUGACGGUACCGUACGAGGAACGCCCCGGCAAACUACGUGCCAGCAGCCGCGGUAAA